UUUGCUGAUUUUUUUAUUUUGAUUUUUAGAGUAAGAGCUUCCAAAUAGUAGGAGGUAAUGAAACGGGAAUAAAUGAAUUUCCUGCAAUGGUAGGAAUAGUCAGUUUUAGUACCAAGUCGCUCGUUUGUGGAGGGCAUAUAAUUUCGGAUAGAUACCUUCUAUCUGCUGCUCAUUGCGUUCAAAAAGAUCCCAACGAAUUAGCUAUUUUGGCUGGAGAUCAUAAUAUUACAUCAGGAGACGAUACAUUAUAUUCUGUCCUUUAUAACAUAAAGGCCUAUGAAAUAUACCCUGACUACGACAAUAGCAUUUAUUCCAAUGACAUCGCUAUAUUGCAAACGACCAAAUCUAUUGCUUUUAGUCAAUAUGUAGCUUCGAUUUGUCUGCCCUUCAAAUACGUUGACUACGAUUUUUCUUCUCAGCCUGUUAUCGUUUUAGGUUGGGGUCAACUUGAGUUUUCUGGUCCCACUUCAGAUGUUCUAAUGAUGGCAUCAUUAAACGUUUUAUCAAAUGACGAAUGCUCAAUAAUCGUAAGCGAAGCACUUGUGCCUCAAGAAAUGUGUACGUUUGCUUCAGGGAAAGACUCUUGCCAGCUUGAUUCAGGUGGUCCACUUUUAUGGACUGAUGUGGUUGCAAACAGAAUGCAUUUAGUGGGAAUAAUUUCCCAUGGUCUUGGCUGUGCCUCAAAUGAACCCAGCGUGAAUACGAGAGUUACUCAGUUUCUGAGCUGGAUUGUUGAGAUAACAAGCGAUGCUACAUAUUGUUAUAUGUAAUACAUGACACCAAGGAAAGCAAUAGAACUGAAGUUGACUUAAAUUGGCAAACCUAAGUUUUGAAAUAUUCUCAUUUGAGGCGCCAAACCAUAUUAACAUAUUCAAGAUGAAGGGAGCCUUUGGAGGUGGCCUAAAAAUCUAAGGAAUCACGCGUUUCAUACUAAUUUUAUUAUUAAAUAAAUACUAUAUGCUUUUUAAUUUCCUACCUAAUUUAAUAACCAAGAUAGCGAACUUUAGUGUUAAUGCUUCGAGCUAUACUAGAAAUUAGACUAAUGCAUGAUGUAGAGAAUAAAAAAUGUCCGAACAAAUAAAAAAAGUUAUAUCAACUAACUUUUAAAGCAGCAGUAAAUCAACGUCCAUCCGGUUCUUUUCAAUAUGGUGAAAAAAUAAUUAACUAAGCCAUUUCUAAAAAUACGGAAAUUUAUUCACGACUUAUGUCGCGAAUGUUUCAUCACUCCGAAAGU
rnacentral:misc_RNA from 1 species